rnacentral:lncRNA from 1 species
AAAGAAUGUACCUCAGUCGUUGAAUAUUUAAGUUCUUCAAAAUCUGUGGAAUAAUGAAGACAGUAUGUCCAUCCAAGCAAACAAUUGCUUCAUGGGGAGCCUGUGUGUCUCAAAUUAGUUAAUUCCUGGACUUUAAAUUGGCCCCUGUUCCUGUUAUUUAAAGCCAGCAAAGAGUAGCACUGGCAGGAAAGCUGUCUGCCAGAAAAGGGCAUUUUCAAAGUCACACAGCAUGAACAUCUUCUUGUCAAGACCCAUUACAAGAAAAAAACAACCAGCUCCCUGUUCAAAUGCGUGAGUUGCUUCCCUGCAUUUUGGUCACCAGUGAGAGCUGAGAAGAGUGAGAGAAGUUUUCUGUGCUCAGUAGCUGGAGUCCAUCGCACUGUAUAAUUGCUGGUGCUGCAUUGGGCAGCAGCAACAAAAACAGGCCUGUUUAGCUGUUGUGGCCUCAUUAUUUGUCAGCUCAUCUACAAGAAGAUGUAACUGUGCAAUUGACUGGGCUUAUACAUUAGCUCCAAGCCAGAAUUCAUACUGAACAAUCCUUCAUGUGGAAGAGACAUAUGUGUAAUCAGGUAGUCUCUGCCCAGUGGGCUCUGUGUGGGAACCUGGUUGCCUCAGUUUGAGUGGUGAAUCCUUCAACAGCUGGCUAGAGUUUUGUGUGAUGAUUUGGCUAUACAAAAUCUAUGCAACUCUACAGAUUCAGACCAGAGAUACCUCUGGUGUUAUGUCAUACAGGAAAUUACAUUAAAGAUUUUGCUCAGCGUAAGCGAGUGCAAAUAAUGGAGAACAGAAACAGAACAAGUGUAAAGACUAGAACUCCGUGCACCUGA